rnacentral:rRNA from 1 species
AGUGAACGCUGGCGGUAUGCUUAACACAUGCAAGUCGAACGGCAUCACCGUAAUAGCUUGCUCUUACGGGUGGCGAGUGGCGGACGGGUGAUUAAUACAUCGGACUCUACUUUUUCGUGGGGGCUAACGUAGGGAAACUUACGCUAAUACCGCAUACUACCUACGGGUGAAAGUAGGGGCUCUUCGGCCCUUGCGCGAUUGAAUGAGCCGCUGUCGGAUUGGCUAGUUGGCGGGGUAAAGGCCCACCAAGGCGACGAUCCGUAGCUGGUCUGAGAGGAUGAACAGCCACACUGGAACUGAGACCCGGUCCAGACGCCUAGGGGAGGCAGCAGUGGCGAAUAUUGGACGAUGGGGGCAAGACUGAUCCAGACAUGCCGCGUGGGUGAAGAAGGCCUUCGGGUUGUAAAGACCUUUUGUUGGGGAAGAAAAGCAGCAGGUUAAUACAAGGCUGUUAUGACGGUACCCAAAGAAUAAGCACCGGCUAACUUCGUG